GCAAUAACAGGUCUGUGAUGCCC
rnacentral:ncRNA from 6 species